AUAAUUUGCUCUGUGAUCGUUAUUGACUGUGUGGGGCAGUGUUAGGAUUCCCAGCUGCUGUGUGCACAGACUCAGCCUGCAGACACGGGAUGAUCCCUGCUUCCUGCUGCAUGUAAACUGGAGGACAGCAGAGGGCAUUGAAAUAAAACUGCUGGCCUGCUGAAGCACCUUCUUCCUCCCCUGCUUGUGGGAGCAAAGUGUGAACUGCCCCUUUGUCUGCUGUGGAAGGAACACAGAUGGGAGGAGGCUGUUUGUGGCUCAAGACUUGAUGCUGCUGUGGUUGGGAGGAGGAAACAGGUUCCUCAGCUCACAGCUCCUGAACACCUGGUGGGCACCCACAAAACUGCAGAAUGGAUGGGCAGAAAAAGCAUGAGCAGCAACUGCAGGAGUGUGGCUGUUGACACUUUGGGAAGAAUAUCAGAGGAAGACUGUGAGAGUGCAAAGGGGAAGGAGGACACACAUGACAACUGACACACGCUACCUCUUUCCAGACCUGGAUAUAAAUGAGAAAAGGUUAAUGAUGCUAUCACAUGACAGAGGUCCAAGCUGCAGACAAAGCUAGCGAAAUGAAGGUGCCAAUAUUCUGAACCUGCAGCACAGGAAGCAUGGAGUCAAGUUGCAUUUCUCAAACCAGCAUCCAAAUUUAACUCCUUGCCCGUGCAGAAGCCG
rnacentral:lncRNA from 1 species